rnacentral:lncRNA from 1 species
CAUAGUGAGUUCAAGGCCAGCCUGAACUAGAGUGAGACCUUGUCUCAAAAAAAAAAAAGACCCUGAGCCAGGGAUAUAGGGAUAGAACAAGCCAUUGCUUAGCUUACCCCCAAGUUCCAUGCCCAAUAUUGCAAAAGAAAAGAAAAGAAGGAGGGGAGGAGAGAGGGGAGGAGGGAGAGAGGACAGGAAGGAAGGAAGGAAAACCCAGAGGGCCAGUUGUGAGCACAGGGCUACACGAGAUUAAGAGGGCCCAAGGAUGUAAGUCCAGUACUGUACUCUGGGAGGCAGGAAGAUCACUCAGUAACUUAGUGACUUAGCAAGACUCUGUCUCAAAAUACAAAUUUUAAAAAGGGCUAGAGAUAUAGCUGGUAUAUUAGUCCUUGGUACCCCAAGUACCAUAUACGAGAGAGUGAGAGAGGAUCCAAGGGAUGGCGAAGACAAGGAAGGCCACUGGGGACGGUGGUGUGAGCAGAGGACUGUGGUCAGCACCUCGAAAGCCUGUCACAUGUCUGAUCCCAGACCAUGACUGCAUUUGUCAUCUCUAGGGCCUUCCCGUUCCCAUACUCCUCAAUUGUCUGACAUUUGCACAGGUUCCUUUUGUUAUAAAAUCUAUGAGGUUUUUUUUUUGGUACCAGGGAUUGAACUCAGGUCCUUGCGCUUGCGCAGCAGGCAGCGAAAUCACUGCGCUAAAUCCCCGGGCCUAAAUCUAUGAGUUUUUGAAAGAUUGAUCUAAAAAGCUGGAGGCAUGUUGACACCAGAGAGGCCAAGGAGGGCUGGGGAAACACAAGUCCCACCCCUGUGGGCCACAGACUGCAAGCCCAGAAAACAAGACACCAGACAGACAGGAGACCCCCUCCCUGCCCUGCACCCCAUUCCUAUCAGGGCCGCCACACCUUGACCAGUUUGUAGAAGGUCUCGUAGAUGAAGAUAAGGGAGAUGAGGAAGGCGAAGAUCUCCUGGGUGAAGCGGGACACAAAACGCACCAGGAAACUCCCCUCCAGGGCCACCAUGAGCAGGGCCAGCAGCACCAGCCAGAAGCCAAUCCACACCCGGCCCACCAGGUACUCCAGCUCGCUGCUUCUGCAGAACUACACAGGGGAGUCAGGGAGCCGUCAGGGCUCUGGGGACAAGAGGAGAAGGCUAUGGGGAGACCACACAGGGAGAGGACGGGCAGCCCACGCAGGGUAAGAAGAGCUCUACCUAUGGCCGGGGAUUUAGCUCAGUGGUUCCACCACCUGCCUUGAAAGCACAAGGUCCCAAGUUCGAUCCCCAGUACCAAAAAUAAAAAGAAGAGCCCUACCGAGUAGAAGGCCUCCUCAAAGACCAGCAGCGGCCCAGAGAAGCCGACACCAGCAGCGGCUGAGCCCCUAGCAGGCAGAAGAUCACACCCUGGAGCGCCGUGGACAUGAUGAGCUCUGACACCCCUAUCAGGUCAUGUGUCUUCUCUCCUGAGGGUCCCCCAAAGGUGAUGGCUGGAGACAGGGCUGCAAAGUAGAUGAAGAUGACAGCGGCCAGGCACUGAGGGUCAAGUGCAUCUCGGAAGUCACUCAGGUAGUGGGGGUAGCGGCGCUUUACAUCACGGAUCAGCCCUCCAAAGGGCCGGCCUGUCCGCCGCAGGGGAUCGUCUUCGGCUGCACCCGCCACCUCUACCAUCUGCAGGAGUGCUGCAAACCAGGCCUCCAUCAGGGUGGCUGUGGGUCCUGCGCCUGCCCACCCACCCCCUGCCCUGGGCAGCCCCAUCUGGCCCAAGUCACCACAGCAUACCCUUUUCCUGGGCAGACUUGGGCUCCAGCCCAGCCCCUGGGGGCAGCAGCCGGCCCUGCUCCUCCCGCUUCUUCAGCAUCUGGCGUUGGAAGUGAGCAACAGAACGCAGCAGCUCCUCGCCCUGCACUUCCGAGGGUGGCAGCACCACGCUGCAGUCCAGGAAGGCGUUGAUGGCAGUCAGCAAGUCCUCUCGCUCGUCCGCCAGGUAGGCCGCCUCGUGGAAUUGCUGCCAAACCAGGAUAGGGGUCAGGGAGGACACCAGGAUGGGGGAUGGGGCCCCGGAGCCCAGGGCCCAGGGCCCAGAGAAGGGCUGGGCAAGGUGGGCAUGGGGGGUGGGAGGUACUGCCAGGGGCCCAGGUUGGAUGGGGCUAGGGUGGGUCCAGGGAUGGGGGCACAGGUGGUGUGCGGCUGACCUUGUCAGACAUGAGGGUGGAGAUGGAGCGGCCAAUCUCAUGGUAGUCCAUGUUAGCGCUGCUGGGGCCCAGUAACAGGAAGAGAAAUCGCACGGGCACUGGCACCUCCAGCACUGCGUCCAGCUCCACGGCCUCCCGCAGACGCACAAAGGCCAUGGUGGGGCGGGAGAGGAACUCCACGCAGCCUAGGGGCGUGGGACCA